GGAUUCCCCUAGUAACUGCGAGUGAAGAGGGAAGAGCUCAAAUUUAAAAUCUGGCAGUCUUUUGCUGUCCGAGUUGUAAUCUAGAGAAGUGCUGCCCGUGCUGGACCAUGUACAAGUCUCCUGGAAUGGAGCGUCACAGAGGGUGAGAAUCCCGUCUUUGACAUGGACUGCCAGUGCAUUGUGGUAUGCUCUCAAAGAGUCGAGUUGUUUGGGAAUGCAGCUCUAAAUGGGUGGUAAACUCCAUCUAAAGCUAAAUAUUGGCGAGAGACCGAUAGUGAACAAGUACCGUGAGGGAAAGAUGAAAAGAACUUUGGAAAGAGAGUUAAACAGUAUGUGAAAUUGUUGAAAGGGAAACGCUUAAAGUCAGUCGUGUCGGCCAGGGAUCAACUCAGUUGUUUCUGCUGGGUGUACUUCCUGAUCUGAUGGGCCAACAUCAGUUUUGACUGCUGGAGAAGGAUAGAGGGAAUGUGGCACCUCUGGGUGUGUUAUAGCUCUCUGUCGGAUGCAGUGGUCAGGACUGAGGAAAGCAGCAUGCCGCAAGGCUGGGUUUUAACCACGUUCAUGCUGAGGAUGUUGGCAUAAUGGCUUUAAUCGACCCGUCUUGAAACACGGACC
rnacentral:rRNA from 1 species